rnacentral:pre_miRNA from 1 species
AAUAAACAAAUAUAUAUGUUUUUUAAUAGAAUGUUUGACUAUUCGUUUUAUUUAAAAAAAUUAUAAUUAAUAUUUUUAUUGUUACUAAAUGAUAAAACAUAAAUAGUACUUCACGUGCGACUAAUUUUUUUCAUUUUUUAAUAAAUUUUUUAAAUAAGACAGAUGGUCAAACGCUCGACCUACGAAACCCAG